rnacentral:rRNA from 1 species
GACAGAGGGUGCGAACGUUGCUCGGAAUUACUGGGCGUAAAGCGCGUGUAGGCGGGUGAUCAAGUCAGGUGUGAAAUCCCCCAGGCUCGAACCUGGGAACUGCACUUGAAACUGGUCGCCUUGAGUGUUGGAGAGGGAAGCGGAAUUCCUGGUGUAGAGGUGAAAUUCGUAGAUAUCAGGAGGAACGACCGAGGCGAAGGCAGGUCUCUGGGCAGUUAACGUGACGACUGAGGAGCGAAAGCAUGGGGGAGCGAACAGG